GAUGAACGCUAGCGGCAGGCCUAAUACAUGCAAGUCGAACGGGCGGUAGCAAUACCGCUAGUGGCGCACGGGUGCGUAACGCGUAACCAACCUGCCCAGAUCUGGGGGAUAGCCCGCCGAAAGGCGGAUUAAUACCGCAUAAACCCACAGUGUGGCAUCACAUAAUGGGUAAAGAUUUAUCGGAUCUGGAUGGGGUUGCGUAGCAUUAGCUAGUUGGCGGGGUAAUGGCCCACCAAGGCGACGAUGCUUAGGGGACCUGAGAGGGUGAUCCCCCACACUGGCACUGAGAUACGGGCCAGACGCCUACGGGAGGCAGCAGUAGGGAAUAGUGGGCAAUGGGCGAGAGCCUGACCCAGCCAUGCCGCGUGCCGGAUGAAGGCCUUCUGGGGUGUAAACGGCUUUUCUCAGGGAAGAAAACGGGGAUGCGUCCUCAACUGACGGUACCUGAGGAAUAAGCACCGGCUAACUCCGUG
rnacentral:rRNA from 1 species